UUUAUGGAGAGUUUGAUCCUGGCUCAGGAUGAACGCUGGCGGCGUGCCUAAUACAUGCAAGUCGAGCGAACGGACGAGAAGCUUGCUUCUCUGAUGUUAGCGGCGGACGGGUGAGUAACACGUGGAUAACCUACCUAUAAGACUGGGAUAACUUCGGGAAACCGGAGCUAAUACCGGAUGAUAUUUUGAACCGCAUGGUUCAAAAGUGAAAGACGGUCUUGCUGUCACUUAUAGAUGGAUCCGCGCUGCAUUAGCUAGUUGGUAAGGUAACGGCUUACCAAGGCAACGAUGCAUAGCCGACCUGAGAGGGUGAUCGGCCACACUGGAACUGAGACACGGUCCAGACUCCUACGGGAGGCAGCAGUAGGGAAUCUUCCGCAAUGGGCGAAAGCCUGACGGAGCAACGCCGCGUGAGUGAUGAAGGUCUUCGGAUCGUAAAACUCUGUUAUUAGGGAAGAACAUAUGUGUAAGUAACUGUGCACAUCUUGACGGUACCUAAUCAGAAAGCCACGGCUAACUA
rnacentral:rRNA from 1 species